UGCAUUCAUGACUGUACAUUUCUUUGGAUAAAAGCAUCUGCUAAAUGGCAUAUU
rfam:Salmo salar isolate Sally breed double haploid chromosome ssa20, whole genome shotgun sequence.